CUUGACACUGAACAUUGAGCCUUGAUGUGUAGGAUAGGUGGGAGGCUUGGAAGUGUGGACGCCAGUCUGCAUGGAGCCGACCUUGAAAUACCACCCUUUAAUGUUUGAUGUUCUAACGUUGACCCGUGAUCCGGGUUGCGGACAGUGUCUGGUGGGUAGUUUGACUGGGGCGGUCUCCUCCUAAAGAGUAACGGAGGAGCACGAAGGUUGGCUAAUCCUGGUCGGACAUCAGGAGGUUAGUGCAAUG
rnacentral:rRNA from 1 species